rnacentral:rRNA from 1 species
UACGUAGGGACCAAGCGUUGUUCGGAAUUACUGGGUUUAAAGGGUGCGUAGGCGGCUUGUUAAGUCAGGAGUGAAAGUUUGCGGCUCAACCGUAAAAUUGCUUUUGAUACUGGCAGGCUAGAAUUAGGAUGAGGUUAGCGGAAUGUGGCAUGUAGCGGUGAAAUGCAUAGAUAUGCCAUAGAACACCAAUUGCGAAGGCAGCUGGCUAGACCUAUAUUGACGCUGAGGCACGAAAGCGUGGGGAGCGAACAGG